GCAGGCAGCGGCGGAGGCCCCGGCCCGCCCCGCCAAACCUCAGCCCUGGACGCGCGCCGAGCCCGGCGGCCGGAAGAGCAUGCUCCCUUCCGGUCCCGCCGCGUCCGGGGCGGCGCGUCAUUUCCGGCCGACCCGCGGCCGGAGCUCCCUGUCAGGCAGCCGGUUUCCUCUGGCCCGGCCCGCAAGGGCCGUCAUUCCGUGUCCGGGCCGGCGGCCGAGCCCGAGUGUCCGCGCUCAGGGCUGCUGGCCGCUAGCACCGCGCCCUCGCGGGCCGCGUGUCGCUGCUGCCCAGACGCGGGUCAGUCCGUGGCUUCUGAGGGACCGGGGUCGCGGCCGGGCCCUCGGCUCCCAACCGUCUCCCAACUCCUGCCCCCGCCCCGCCCCUGAGGCCCGGUCAUCGGGCGCUAGACCCUCGGUCGCGCGGCCGAUCGACGCCCUCGGCGCGGCGACGGCGGAAGUGAGGGUGCGGGCCGCUGGCCGCCGCGGCGCGGGGCCCUGUCCGUGCGGGCCUGCAGCCUCAUGGACUGUCUGUAGCUCCUCUGUCCAUGGGAUUUCCCAGGAAGAAUACUAGAGUGGGUGGCCAUUCCCUUCUCCAGAGGAUCUUCCUGACCCAGGGAUUGAUGGAACCUGCGUCUCCUGCUUGGCAGGUGGGUUCUGUAUUGCUGCAGCACCUGGGAAGCCCUCAGGAGCGCCAUAAGCAACGUGAAGAACAGUAGUGACUGGGAGACUUGGGCAGUGUGGCAGGGAGUGAGCAUUCGCGUUAGAGGUUUGUAAUUAAGGGAGUUAAACCUGAUAAAAAGGUGCAAAGGGGAUGAAGAUGGGAUCACACACAGUGCAGGUUGAAACUGUCGCUUGUGCUUUGCCUGUCAGAUAGCUGCAGGUUAGACGGGCUGCUGCCGCCCACCAUUGCUGGUGGGAGGGUGUAUGAUAGUGUGCAGGCCAGUUUGGUAUUCAUGUCACACUCUUUGGCAGCAAUCCCUCUUUGAAUGUUUUGAAAGGAAAUAUUAAUAGCUGGG
ensembl:lncRNA